UAUAAUCAGCCGAUUAAGCAUGUAUAACUAAAUACAGCUCCUAUAUAACUCUUAUAAGCUGAGACAAUUAGCAGCUCGGUAGCAAGAGGGAUGAAGUUUUUAAGGUUUUUAUGGUUAUUUUGGAUCCUAAUCAUUGUUCUUCUCUUCAAUCCACCCUCCGGUGAUCACUCUGGCCGGAGGCUGCUGAUCGGAUGCAACGCAGGUCGAGGAGACUCGAGUAUCAGAAGUCCACCUGCGCCCAGGAAGGAUCCUGCAGAACAUCAGCAUCCAUGAUUAAGGAAUAAAUAAAUUAAAGUCCAAUAAAUAUUAGGAUUGUAGCGUCAUGUUUCAGAAUAUAUAUAUAUAUAUGCCCAGAUUGGAGAGUUACUUCACCUUUUUUAGCUGUAACUAGUUUAAUGCCUUCCUUUCAAUGUAUUUCCUUUUUGUGGGUUCCUAGAGAUUGUAACUUGUAACCGAGCUGCCCAUUCUUGAGUGCUUGGGCCUUUACCGGCAAGAACUCUGGUUUUGUUUCGGAGAAAGAAGAUAAAUGUUUAUUACUUA